AGUGAACGCUGGCGGCAGGCUUAACACAUGCAAGUCGAACGGCAGCACAGUAAUUGCUUGCUCUUACGGGUGGCGAGUGGUGGACGGGUGAGGAAUACAGUGGCACCUACUUUUUCGUGGGGGAUCACGUAGGGAAACUUACGCUAAUACUGCAUAUGACCUAUGGGCGAACGCAGGUGCUUUUCGGACUUUGCGCGACUGAAUGAGCCGAUGUCGGAUCAGCUAUUUGGCGGGGUAAUGGCACACUAAGGCCGUGAUACGUAGCCGGUCUGAGAGGAUGAUCAGCCACACUGGAACUGAGACACGGUCCAGACUCCUACGGGAGGCAGCGGUGGAGAAUAUUGGACGAUGGGGGAAAGCCUGAUACAGCCAUACCGCGUGAGUGAAGAAGGCCUUCGGGUGGGAAAACCCUGUUGUUGGGAGGGAAAAGCAGCAGGUUAAGACCGCGCUGUUCUGACGGUACCCAACGAAGAAGCACCGGCUAACUUCGUG
rnacentral:rRNA from 1 species